GACGAACGCUGGCGGCGUGCUUAACACAUGCAAGUCGAACGGAAAGGCCCUGGCUUUGUGCGGUGCUCGAGUGGCGAACGGGUGAGUAACACGUGAGUAACCUGCCCCUGACUUUGGGAUAACUUCAGGAAACUGGGGCUAAUACCGGAUAGGCGCUCCUGCUGCAUGGUUGGGGUUGGAAAGUUUCGGCGGUUGGGGAUGGACUCGCGGCCUAUCAGCUUGUUGGUGGGGUAGCGGCUUACCAAGGCUUUGACGGGUAGCCGGCCUGAGAGGGUGACCGGCCACAUUGGGACUGAGAUACGGCCCAGACUCCUACGGGAGGCAGCAGUGGGGAAUAUUGCACAAUGGGCGGAAGCCUGAUGCAGCAACGCCGCGUGCGGGAUGACGGCCUUCGGGUUGUAAACCGCUUUUGGCAGUGACGAAGCGAGAGUGACGGUAAUGGGUAAAGAAGCACCGGCUAACUACGUG
rnacentral:rRNA from 1 species